rnacentral:lncRNA from 1 species
UGCAAUUCCCGAAUAGUCUUUCUUCUCUCUCUCUCUCUCACCACUUUUAAGUUUUAUCUUCACUUCCUCAUUCUCUCCUACUUUAUGCAAUAAAACAUCCAAAACAACAACAACGAUUAAGAUUUAGCUUCUUUGAGGAUCAAGUUCCCAAAACAACAACGACUAUGAAGAUGUCGUAAUUUUGAAGGAGCAAAAAACUUCAUCACUGAGAUCGAAAAUAACCACUUCGUGAUUGUUAAAUCCUACACCCCUGAUGUUGUCACAGUAACGUCAAGUUGUUUGUGUACGCCGCCGUCGCCGCCGAGUUGAAAAGAGACGGUGUAUAGUAUAGUUUUGGCCAUGUUGAAUGCUUUGAAGGAAAAUUAGUUCAUCAGUACCUUUAACAGGAAAUAGAACCCGCAUGAAAAUUAAUUAACAUAGCAUGAAAGAGAUGCAUAAAUUAAGGUUGAGAAAUUUAUUACUGACGUUGUUCCUCUACAUAGAUCUGUUAAGGAAGGAGAUUUUUGGGUUCUAAGAGAAGGAACAUGUUUGUUUUGUUUGGACGAGAACGAAGGCAAGCUAAUUUCUUUUUUAAUUAAAAAAAAUGGGAAAGUGCAGCGCGUGGUAAAUAGUUGUAUUCACGCGUCCGUGAAAUUUCGUUGUGAAACUGCCGUACCAAAUAGCAUUCCUGAAAAUAAUAUUCGCAAUGACCAAAACAAAAA